rnacentral:rRNA from 1 species
AGGAUUAACGCUGGCGGCGUGCCUAACACAUGCAAGUCGAACGAGGUAGCAAUACCUAGUGGCAGACGGGUGAGUAACGCGUGGUCAACCUACCGUUGAGUGGGGGAUAACUAGCCGAAAGGUUAGCUAAUACCGCAUACGAGUCUUGGGGGCAUCCCCGGGCCUUAAAAGGAGCAAUCCGCUCGAUGACGGGACCGCGUCCCAUUAGCUAGAUGGUGGGGUAACGGCCUACCAUGGCUCCGAUGGGUAGCUGGUUUGAGAGAGCGACCAGCCACACUGGGACUGAGAAACGGCCCAGACUCCUACGGGAGGCAGCAGUGAGGAAUUUUCCGCAAUGGGCGAAAGCCUGACGGAGCGACGCCGCGUGUGGGAAGAAGGCCUUCGGGUCGUAAACCACUGUCGAAGGGACGAUAAUGACGGUACCCUUGGAGGAAGCCCCGGCUAACUACGUGCCAGCAGCCGC